UUGACCUCGGAUCAGGUAGGAAUACCCGCUGAACUUAAGCAUAUCAAUAAGCGGAGGAAAAGAAACCAACAGGGAUUGCCCUAGUAACGGCGAGUGAAGCGGCAACAGCUCAAAUUUGAAAUCUGGCUCUCGGGCCCGAGUUGUAAUUUGUAGAGGAUGCUUUUGGCAAGGUGCCUUCCGAGUUCCCUGGAACGGGACGCCAUAGAGGGUGAGAGCCCCGUCUGGUUGGACACCGAGCCUCUGUAAAGCUCCUUCGACGAGUCGAGUAGUUUGGGAAUGCUGCUCUAAAUGGGAGGUAUAUGUCUUCUAAAGCUAAAUACUGGCCAGAGACCGAUAGCGCACAAGUAGAGUGAUCGAAAGAUGAAAAGCACUUUGAAAAGAGAGUUAAAAAGCACGUGAAAUUGUUGAAAGGGAAGCGCUUAUGACCAGACUUGGGCUUGGUUGAUCAUCCGGCGUUCUCGCCGGUGCACUCUUCCAGUUCAGGCCAGCAUCAGUUUGCCUCGGGGGAUAAAAGUANCGGGAA
rnacentral:rRNA from 1 species